UACAGAGGGUGCAAGCGUUAAUCGGAAUUACUGGGCGUAAAGCGUGCGUAGGUGGUUUGAUAAGUCAGAUGUGAAAGCCCCGGGCUCAACCUGGGAACUGCAUUUGAUACUGUCGAACUCGAGUUCGGUAGAGGGUAGUAGAAUUCCCGGUGUAGCGGUGAAAUGCGUAGAUAUCGGGAGGAAUACCAGUGGCGAAGGCGGCUACCUGGACUGAAACUGACACUGAGGCACGAAAGCGUGGGGAGCAAACAGG
rnacentral:rRNA from 2 species